rnacentral:lncRNA from 1 species
CGAACCUGUCUAAAUUGUGUGUUCCUUGCGUCACCAUUGAUUCCUUGAUUCUCGACGAUCCUUACCGCACAAAAGACCUCCUAAGGUACCCCCUAGGUGGGUUGCCGGUCUAAAACACUGACAGCUGGCGUGUCAGGUAGGGGCGCUCGUCGAGUUUCUCAGCGCGAACUCAAUGGCAAAGGUCAUCAUCAGGCCCGUUUUCUUCAUCGAAGCCGGCGCCACCUUCGUUUUCG